GUAAGAGUCAGGGCACAGAACCCAUGAGUGAGCAACUCCUUUUCAUAAACACGGUAAUUUUUUCUAUUGGCAGAGUGUCAGCCUUUUGAUUGACACACUGAGUGGCAACAGUACAAUAACAUAUGGUGACUAGCUUCCUUAGAAACAGUGUUCACAACGGACACUUUGAAAAUUCAACCUUCUACUUAAAGCAAGAAAAUAUGUAUGCAACUUGGUAUCACACCGGAGAAGAGCAAGAUGCAGGAGAAAAAAUAAGUACACAAGAAAGCACUGUCGAAUUCUGUCUUCUGGGCACAUGAGAAGUCCUGACUGUUGUGAAGAGGUCAGUGUUGGGAGUCGGGCUGCUCGUCUACAGAAUUUCAAAAGAAGUCAGAGGUGGAUAUUGUGGGAGGGGUCAGUCUCUCCCACUGUCCCUCUGACCCCUCCCACUGUCCCUCUGACCCCUCCCACUGUCCUUCUGACCCCCCCCACUGUCCUUCUGACCCCCCCCACUGUCCCUCUGGCCCCUCCCACUGUCCCUCUAUUAAAGACAUUAUGUGAUGAUAUAAAGGUUGGGACACUGGACAAUUGAAGUACCUGUAAAGAAAAUAGUGUGGAUCUGGGGAUGAAGACUUUAGGGGACACUUACUUGGGACAUCUGACAAUCUAGCAUUAAUCAACUACUGUCCUCCAAACACCUACUGUAAGCCCCGACUAGGUGUGAUCAAGCCAUUUCCUAUCUGUGCCUCUGAAAACGGUUCUCUGAAGGCAAGGUUUUAGGACUCAUCUUUGCACUUUUAGUUACUGUGACAAUGUUGAGCCUGUUUGCUGCAGAAAUGCCCUAAGAGCCUGCAAACAGCAGUCAGCUUGCCUUUUGUUUGUGGGCUCCAUUCUUUUACAAUCAAUCUAGAAACCAGAAUGCUGUUUUUCCUAAGCCAGAUGACAAACGCAAUCUAACAUAGCUGACCGAGGCUGCCACAUCUGAAACGGGAAGUAGAAAAAUUCCUGGUGAAAGUGCCCCACAUUAAAACAGAAAGUGGGUAGCAUUGUCUGGGAAAGAUGAAUUCCACUUUGGAUGAGGCUGGGGUGAAGACGUAGCUUUCAUCCCCAGGAGGACAUAACUGGAGGUCUACACAGGAUGGCUAAACCUUUGGAAACUAUAAAUCUCUCUACAAACGGCCAGAUAAAACAUGCGCUGUCUCCUACUCUGAUAAAUUUACACUGUAAAUGACCUGUGAGGCCAGGACCAAAUUACAAGUAUGUGGCCUCCCUAAAGCUUGUGGAACAUGGCAAUACAGAGGGGGCCUCUGGUCCCUCUGGCUCACACCAUCUGAACCUGCCCUAGGAAGGCAGGAGCUGAGAGAAGAGGAGGGCCAUUCAUCUGGGUAGUCAGAAUUUGGAGGAAGGCCUGGCCCCUGGGUCCCCUGUGUACCUCCCCUGGGAGGGCUUGGUCAGGGGCUGAGGGGUUACGUGUGCUUCCCUUCCCCUCCCCUCUCCUUCGUGGUACUGGGCAUGGAUCCAGUACUUUCCCGCUGUGUUCAAUCUCCAGCCCCCUUCUUGAGAGAGGGUCUUACUGAGUAUUCCAGGAUGGUCCUGAGAUCACUGUCUUCAGGUGGCUCUUGAACCUGCAAAGCUCCUGCCUGAGUAGUUGGUUCCUGGCCUGUACUACCGGGUUGCUGAAGUACCUAUUAAAGAGCGGCUCACACAGAGGGGAGAAGCAGAUUCCCAUGCUGCACUGCGCAUCAACAGGAAGCCAGAACACUGGGUGAAUUCUUCACCGCCAAGGCUGUAUUCUGAGUCCAGGGUUUUUCUAAUGCUUUUUUGCAUUUAAAAUGUUUUGGCUAUGGAAUCCUUGCUCCAAAUGAAAAACUGUAUGAAGUCCACUUUGUGCAACACUGUGCAGAAUCAAGGCUGCAGAGCAAACGCCGAGCGGAUGCCAUCACAGCCCAGGGCCGAAUGAAUUAAGAACUGUCUGGAACUGAGGGUAGGAGCUUCAGAUCACGCGGCUACAUCGUAAAGACACCGAGUGAUGCCAGGCUGGCAUUCCACAAACUGUCAUCUACUCAUGAGUCACCUUCUAUUUUCUGGUAAGUUACGGCCUCUCGGUAGUUAUUGCUGGACUGUUUCUUCUUUCAUGAACAAGAAACUGAAAGUACAGACAGACUAAGUGGUUGGGAACAAUGAUGACGUAAGGGCUAGCAAAUAUUUCUAAAUCAAGUAUUUCUUCCAUGGAUGCAGCUGGAAUGUGAGAGGGGACAGACCGAGUCUCAGUUCUUCGUCCUUCCUCCUUUGUACUGUGUGCAACUAUUCCUCCUGUACCCUCAACAUCUAAUUAGAAACACGAAAGGCUCUCACAGAGUAUGCGAUUCUGUCACUCUUAUGUCCUCUACAGAGGGGUCUGUGGCCAGUCAAACCUCAGACGUGGCAAUAUGACAGGGAAGACCUGGAAAGAGCUGAUGAAAUCAAGCGGAUGUGGGGCAGGUCCAAACCCCAACAUGAAAUGAAGGGGACGUUGGGGUGCGGCCAUUUAUACUGAUCCAUGGCUGUCUAGACGUCCACUGGUUGUCUAGACACCCAUUGGCCAUCAGUGGUCGAAAUGAUUUAAAUACACCUUUCUAUAAGGACAAUCAAGAUGCAAUCACACAUGAGGUAUGGGUCAAGAGAGGGAAAGUCUGAAGGGCAGUCCCAGAAUCCUGUGCAGGAAAGACGAUGACUUCUGGCUCCCACAGAAGCCGUGUCAUGUCCGUCACGACGUAACUCAGAAGCAAAGUCUCUUCCCAGAUAUCCCGGAGCAGCCUGUCAUAGUGAGUCUUUGAUUUGGGCUCUGGGAUUCCUGGCAAGUGUAAUAGAGCCCAGAGGAACUCUUGAAUAGUUUCAUGGUCUUCAGUGACCAUGAGGGACAGGAGCGGGAGCCUCUCAUGCUAAGUCAUGUGUUAUUUGCAUUUGGACCACUGUGCAGAGCCUUGUAGCCUCACAGCACACACUGCUGGGUGCUGCUUAUCCAUCACCACUUAGAUCUGAAAGUCUUUUCUGCCAGGGACCCCGGGAGGGCCAACAGGCUGCACCCUUCACAAGGAGCUUAAGUGAAACAGCCGUGGCUGUCCUAGGGUACAGAUGGGGUGACUAAAUGGCAAUGAUUCAAGACUGUCUGAUCUCAGGGGUUACUUUAUCCAGUACAAACUCUAGAGUUCCGAUGUUGGUCUGGGCGUCCUUCACAGUGUCUAUACACACCAUGUCUCUCUGGCAUGUGUGGUGCCCGGGUUGCCCUGUGCAUGGCCAAGCUCAGAUGGGCUCAUACUGGCUGGCAGCACAGCGGCAUGGGGAUGCCCUCCCUAUACGCAGACCUCUGAAAUGGAGGGGUUAAUAGCAAAAUGAAGAACAAGAAGCUGGAAGUGAGCAGAAGGCUGCUGUCUCCCAGAAGUGUCUUCGCGUCAGUUGGGGACCUUUAUCAUCGUCUCUCCAUUGUCCAUGUGGAAAGGGAAUGUGAGGCAGAGAACAGGACAUUGUCAAGUGGUGCACAGACCACGGCUGGUGUCAGUGCUAAGGGGCACCGGGAUGAGGAUACCCAGGGAAACUUGGGAAGACUUCUUCGGUGUUUGUAAGGAACGUCACACAGCUUGUAUGUUGCCUGCUUUUUUCUGUGGGAACCAGAGGUUUAUCAGGCCCAUCAAUUAUGUUACUAUUAGGACAGGGAAGCAGCAGGCCACUCUCCUGGCUGACAGAUGAACUGCUGAGAGCAGGUGUCCAGUGUUCUGGGUGGAGUCUGCUUCCACGGCUCACCCUAGCCCAGCAGUAGUGAUCAAUGAAAUCCUAGACCCCCAGCUCAUGCCAUUACCUUGAACUUCUCCUCAUAGUUCUCGAAGGCCUCCAUGACCAUGCACACCGCCUCCAUUGAGCGCUCCAGUCGGCGAUCCACCCCGUUGAAGCGGUACAUACUGCCAGAAACAUCCACCACAAGGCGCAGGCGCUUGGGCUUCUGCUGUGGGCUACCCAGCUAAGGGAGGGAAUGGCGGAAAAACAUGGUCAGCUGCCAUCCUGGGUUCUUACCCAGGGUCUGCAGGGCCAGCCCAAGUUGGGCAGAUCUGCCCCAGCGGGUAACUGUAUUCAGAAAGUGGCUAUCAGAUCACACUGGCCAUCGGGACCACAUGGGAAGUGCUUCUUCUGGAAUAUAUUAAAAGCAGCCUUCUGGGGCUGACUGCUUAAAGACAGCGCUUUAAACAUACAAAUCUAGAAGGAUAGAAGCCCAUGUCAUUUACUCUAUGCCUCAGCACCCCCUCCCCUGGAAAGAGAGAGUGUGUAACUGGAGGAGAGUCCACAUCAGUUUCACGUGAAGAACAUUUUCUACCUAGGCUGAAGAAAUGCCAGACUGCCAAGACACGGUUACAUGAGAGGGAGUCUGGCCAAGAGCGUGAGGAAGCAUUUUUAGAAUGGCUCAAUUCUUAACCUUUUUUUUUUUCUUUUGCCAGUGAACUAGUGUUUUUUUUCUUUUCUUGGCAUUGAGCUGCUAUCUGGCAAAAACUACUGAUUUAAAAAUGUGAAACCUUAUGAGAUUGCUUUGGAGCCCAGACCUGCCAAUGUGCAAAAUUUUAAAAAAGUUUGUCAGUAGCAAUAAAUAAGAGAAAUUCCAGAUUAUUCUGUUAUAUACUUGCUGACAUGCAUGAAAAAUAAUGGGCAGAACCAGUAAUUUCCAGAAAAUACUGUAGGGGGCUGGUGAGAUGGCUCAUGAGAUGGCUUGGCAGGUAAGGUUCUCGCCAUCAAGCCUGACAACCUGAGUUCGAGUCCCAGGGCUGUGUGGUGGAAGGAGAGGACUGGACCCCCCCCCCCCCCCCACGUCCUCAGACUUUCAUAUGCCUGCUGUGCCAUGCAUGGCCCCUACAUAUGCACAAGCUAAAUAAAUAAAAACCUGAGAGCCCCACAGAUGCUCAGAGCAUAACGGUAGGAAGAAAUGUCAUAUAUAUUCCUUGAAAACUUGCUGAGUCUGCCCCAAUUAGAAGCAGUGGCACACGGCUGAGACUAAGCCACAGAUGUGUCCAAACACUUACUUACCACAGUGAGUCAGUAAGGAAGCAGCUGUUGACUCAUGGCAACGACACAGAAACGAGAGCCCCCAAAUCACCACCAGACCCACUCUGAGUAAACAUUUCAGACAGCAGCGUCCCUAAUGUCACUCACUGCACCCCCGCCCUCAGCCGCUACCAGAGGAAACCCCAAAGCUCAGUAACAUUCAGUGUUUGACUGCGUUGCCAUAGUAUGGCAAAUGUUUACUUACUAUAAUUAGUGUAACUUAGGGGAGAAUUCUUGUUUUCUAAAAACUAAAGGCAUUUGAUGGACACAGAUUCUUAAAGUUCCAGGAGAGCAGGACCACGAAGAUUGCCCUGAAGACCCCUCUGGGAUUCAUAAACAGCAGUGUCCAUUCCUCCCACCCACAGAACACCACUGUGCCGCAGAAGAGGACCUGUAGGCAGUCACACAGUUCCUGCCUCCAGGUUUCUGCCCCUUUUGGAUUUCUGUCCUGACUUUCUCAAUGAUGAACAGCGCUGCUGAAAUUUGCUGUUUAGGUGACAGUCAACCUUCAUCAGUGUCAGGCCACUGCUCAGCAUGAUGGUGCUUUCUGAACAUCCAAGAAUGUCAGGUCUGAGAGGAAGCCUGUGGCCUUCCCAACUAGCCAAGAAUGACAGGAAAAGCUGGACAGUGGUGGCACACGCCUUUAAUUUCAGUACUAGAGAGGCAGAGGCAGGUGGAUCUCUGAGUUUGAGGCCAGCCUGGUCUACAGAGCAAGUUCCAGGACAGGCUCCAAAGCUACAGAGAAACCCUGUCUCAAAAACAAAACAAAGGAAAAGGAUGAAGCCAAGUCCUGGUCUCUGGCUCGGGGAGGUGGCUUGAGAAGGAUGUCUGUCUGACCUGUGAUCACUCAGUGGGAAGGGAGGCUAGAAGACUUCCCAUCCUCCUACAUCUGUAGCCAUAUAUUUCACCAAGACUCUAUGUGACCUAAGCUUUAUCCCAGCAUACCCUAUUUCCAUGCACCCUUGGAAUUCAGGAACAUACACGUGGGGCAACUGUCCACCAGAAUUAAAAUAUUCAUGCUGGU